rnacentral:rRNA from 1 species
AGAAUCAACGCUGGCGGCGUGCCUAACACAUGCAAGUCGAACGAGAAAGUGGAGCAAUCCAUGAGUACAGUGGCGUACGGGUGAGUAACACGUGACUAACCUACCCUCGAGUGGGGAAUAACCUCGGGAAACCGGGCUAAUACCGCAUAACAUCUUCGGAUCAAAUGCGUAAGCAGCUUGAGGAGGGGUCGCGGCCGAUUAGCUAGUUGGCGGGGUAAUGGCCCACCAAGGCAAUGAUCGGUA